rnacentral:lncRNA from 1 species
UCAAGACGUAUGACGGGACCUGUGAAGAAAUUAUCAAAGGGUAUUUUAGAACUUUGACUAAAGUCAAACGUCAAAACACUCUUGUGCUAAGUCAAAAGACGAUAAACUAACCUCUGUUUCUUUUUGUAGAGCAGUCAAGGCAGCUACAAGCGACUUUGAAUUCGGGCGUUCACGUGGUUCAUAUUGCAAACAACGAGAAGCCAAACGCACCAACUCGGUUCCAUCAUCGUUAGAGAACUGUCCUUCCAAACAUGAAUCCGUAAGCAUUUGAAGGUUCCGAUCUCUUAUCAAGUCAAGAGCCUGAAAUUAUAAACAAGAUGUGUGAUCAAACAUACAUACACACAAAUCGGUGAAACGUAUUCUUACAUGGCUUGGAGGAAUGUGCUUCCCGCUAAGAAGGUCAACCAAAAGAGUCCCGAAGCUAUAUAUCACGCUUUCAGGUGUUACUCUUCCUACAGGAUGGAAACAAAUUUCAAAAAAGUAAAUAAGAAAAAUUAAAAUAAAACUCAUGCCAAAUCUAAAGUGGAAAAUCAGUGGUUGUGACUUCAAAAGUUAUAAUGCAUCUUUCCCAUAACAGAAAUACAAAUGGUACCGAAACCAGAACGCAUCGGUUCUCGGAAAACUCAAAAAAAGCAAACACUGAAUUUGUGUAUUGGCAUUAAAACAAUAAACAGUAAAGUACAUGGAUAAAGCUUGGAACUAAAUGUGUUACAAAGUGCAAACCACAGGACCAUCUGUGUACUUUUGAAAAGCUAGGGACUAGAUCCAAAAUUUUGGUAAACCAUAGGGACCAUUGUUGAUACAUAUUUGUGGACACGACUCACGGAACGAGAACUCGAAGACCAAAGACCAUAGAAGUUCGAGACGAGUCUACAACUAUAGAGAAUAAAGACAAAGCUACAGCCAAGGGGGAGUUUGUUGAUGCACUUAUGUCUGUACUUUGUCUGUAUUCGGUCUAUAUGUAAACGAUGUCCUAGUCAGUCCUGUAAGUUGACCAAGUCAACCGUCCUCCUGGUUUGACCUGGCGCAACAGUUAGAAAUAUAUUAUGUGAAGUGUCUGAGUCGAAGGAUGAGCAAUCGAAGGAUUAUGUCUAUCCUUCGAUUGGCUCGAAAGAUAAACCACGAAGGAUACUGAUGGACUUCGAAGGAUAUGCUAUCCUUCGAAGUAUAUAUGGAUCCUUCGAUGGAAAUUGUGGUCGACAGAUAGUCCUUCGGACAGUCUGUCUAAUCCUUUGACCAGACCUGCUGUGUGUGGGUAUAAAUACCCAUGUAGUGUGUUGUGUUAAGUUAGACAAGAGAGAGACUUGAGAGGCUAGUGAGAUAGAUGCACACAUAGAGAGAGCUUGAGAGCAUUCUAUCAAAACACACACACACACACUAGAGAGUUUGCAAGUUAGAUUUGUAAACAUUGUGCUUGUAACCGGAACCUUCAUUCGUAUUAAUACAGUGGUGUUAAUCGGUGAAUCCUUGUGUGUUUGUGUUUAUGCUUGUCUCAACCCGGUUUGCUUGCUAGCUUGGAUUCCGCACUCGCUAGUGGGUUUGUAUAACAAGGUUUAGGUUCGUCAUCCUCCGAAGAGGGACCUACAAGUGGUAUCAGAGCUAAGGCUCUUUACCUUGUUUAAAAUCGGGUUUUUGUUCAAGUCCUGGGUUGUUUUUUCGUCAGAUCUGGAAAACCCAGUCGCCAUGUUCUUGAUGUGUUCUUGAAGUUCGUGACAGAUCUUCAUAUUUCGAAAGAUCAUUCUUUUCUCGAAGGAUUAUCCAACAACCUCGAAAGAUCAAAUCUGUUCGAAAGACAGAAACUGGUGAAUCAUCUUUCGAGACCGAAAGAUCUGUGCUCGAAACCCCCAACAACUUCGAAGGAUACUUUAUUAAUUAAAGUGCACCGCCCAAGACACUUGUUGUUUUGCUGCUGGGUUCUCGGCCCAAGUCACCUCCUGAAGUGACCAAUUAUCAUCAAUCCGGCCACCGCCAAGAAAAUAAUCAUUUUGAGUUCUCACAAUUCUUGUUUGUUCUGCCCAAGAAAACAAAUACUUUUGUUGACUUUUGUUGGAUUCAAGAUAAGACGCCGCCCAAAUAGACCAUUUAACUUUUUGUUGUAUGUUGUCUGGGUUCUUGGCCCAACGCACCGCCCCAAGUGUUAUUAAUAUGAAGUGUGCACCUCCAGUGACCAAUAAAAGAUGGGAAAGGCCAUGUUUCAUUAACAGCCCAUUUUCAACAUUGUAAAAUUCGGAGGAUCUUCAUUAAAUCACCGUCAUUUCAUUUAAUUGGUUGGUCAUCACCGUCCAAGUGUUCAAUUAGAUAGUCCACCGCCCAAGUCAACAAAUUGAAUUUUGUUGUGUGUUGUUGGUGACCACCGCCAAAGGGACUAUUUUUGUUGAUUGAAGAACCGCCCAAGACACCCACUAACAAUUGGGUUGUUUAUUGUUGGGGU